UGCCCACAUGAUGAGGAACUAAGACCUCCUGCCAAUGGCCACAACCCUUUUACACUCUUAAAAUUGAGGACCUUAAAGAGCUUCUGCUUAUUACAGUUUUUAUCUAUCAUAUAUCAUAAUAUGCACCCUGUUUUAUACCUGUGGUGAAAAAUCUCCCCCUGUAUUGGAGAAGAGCUAUUAUACAACAGUCAGUUGAUGAUGGACUGGUAUAGAGAGAUCGUGAGAGUAUCGGUAAAACUGAUCGUGAGAGUAUCAGAGACUGGGAUGAUGCGGGCGUGGCAUGUUGUCCUCCACACAGAGAUCCCUUCUGCCUGCCUUUCUGAGAGCUUCCCUAUAAGAAACUGCACCCAGCGACAACUUGGCCUGGUAAGAACAGGUCUACCAGAUGUUGAAAGUAAAUCUGGUUUGUUCCCCAGAGGAUAAUAUCUAAUUAUCAUGCACACAUAUGCAAUAUAGAAAUUUAAAGUAUGGAAUUAUAUUUGGAGUUUUCUUCAUACUCAUGUCUCAAAUUCAAUUC